rnacentral:rRNA from 1 species
GACGAACGCUGGCGGCGUGCCUAAUACAUGCAAGUAGAACGCUGAAGGAGGAGCUUGCUCUUCUGGAUGAGUUGCGAACGGGUGAGUAACGCGUAGGUAACCUGCCUGGUAGUGGGGGAUAACUAUUGGAAACGAUAGCUAAUACCGCAUAAUAACAGUUGUUGCAUGACAACUGUUUGAAAGGUGCAAUUGCAUCACUACCAGAUGGACCUGCGUUGUAUUAGCUAGUUGGUGGGGUAACGGCUCACCAAGGCGACGAUACAUAGCCGACCUGAGAGGGUGAUCGGCCACACUGGGACUGAGACACGGCCCAGACUCCUACGGGAGGCAGCAGUAGGGAAUCUUCGGCAAUGGACGAAAGUCUGACCGAGCAACGCCGCGGGAGUGAAGAAGGGUUUCGGAUCGUAAAGCUCUGUUGUAAGAGAAGAACGAGUGUGAGAGUGGAAAGUUCACACUGUGACGGUAUCUUACCAGAAAGGGACGGCUAACUACGUG